rnacentral:piRNA from 1 species
UAAGCCCAGAGGCUCAAAUCAGCCCCAGU